rnacentral:misc_RNA from 1 species
UGAACAGUAGAAAAAGAUAUUUUUAAAUAUAGUUUGUGCAAACCGGACAAAUGGUUUUUAAGAUCUAGGUCCUCCUUCUCCACAAUCUCAAUGUCAGCAAUUUGACUUUCAUAUCGUCGCCGCAAAUAAGCCUCGACAUCCAUUUCCAUUUUGUCCUUUGUGGAGGCAUAGAAAUAAGGACGAAAUUUGAACUUGGACUUGAAAGUGGAGCCAUCCUGAGAAACAAAAUAGAGAUCAACACAACUGUGCAUUUUGCGCGUUUCUUGAUCCUCCCAAGAUGAGGAUGCAAAAGUGAGAAGCCAACCGAGGCGUUUAUCUCCCUCUGUAAAAAGAUCG